UACGUAGAGUGCAAGCGUUGUCCGGAAUUAUUGGGCGUAAAGAGCUCGUAGGCGGUUUGUCGCGUCUGCUGUGAAAACUCGGGGCUUAACCCCGGGCCUGCAGUGGGUACGGGCAGACCAGAGUGCGGUAGGGGAGACUGGAAUUCCUGGUGUAGCAGUGAAAUGCGUAGAUAUCAGGAGGAAUACCGAUGGCGAAGGCAGGUCUCUGGGCUGACACUGACGCUGAGGCGCGAAAGCGUGGGGAGCAAACAGG
rnacentral:rRNA from 1 species